rnacentral:rRNA from 1 species
AUUGAACGCUGGCGGCAUGCUUUACACAUGCAAGUCGAACGGCAGCGCGGGCUUCGGCCUGGCGGCGAGUGGCGAACGGGUGAGUAAUGCAUCGGAACGUGCCCAGUAGUGGGGGAUAGCCCGGCGAAAGCCGGAUUAAUACCGCAUACGACCUGAGGGUGAAAGCGGGGGACCGAAAGGCCUCGCGCUAUUGGAGCGGCCGAUGUCGGAUUAGCUAGUUGGUGGGGUAAAGGCUUACCAAGGCGACGAUCCGUAGCUGGUCUGAGAGGACGACCAGCCACACUGGGACUGAGACCCGGCCCAGACUCCUACGGGAGGCAGCAGGGGGGAAUUUGGGACAAUGGGGGCAACCCUGAUCCAGCCAUGCCGCGGGCGGGAAGAAGGCCUGCGGGUUGUAAACCGCUUUUGUUCGGGAAGAAAUCCUCUGGGCUAAUACCCCGGGGGAUGACGGUACCGGAAGAAUAAGCACCGGCUAACUACGUG